GACGAACGCUGGCGGCGUGCUUAACACAUGCAAGUCGAACGGAAAGGCCCUGCUUUUGUGGGGUGCUCGAGUGGCGAACGGGUGAGUAACACGUGAGUAACCUGCCCUUGACUUUGGGAUAACUUCAGGAAACUGGGGCUAAUACCGGAUAGGAGCUCCUGCUGCAUGGUGGGGGUUGGAAAGUUUCGGCGGUUGGGGAUGGACUCGCGGCUUAUCAGCUUGUUGGUGGGGUAGUGGCUUACCAAGGCUUUGACGGGUAGCCGGCCUGAGAGGGUGACCGGCCACAUUGGGACUGCGAUACGGCCCAGACUCCAACGGGAGGCAGCAGGGGGGAAUAUUGCACAAUGGGCGGGAGCCUGAUGCGGCGACGCUGCGUGCGGAAUGACGGCCUUCGGGUUGUAAACCGCUUUCGCCUGAGACGAAGCGUGAGUGACGGUAAUGGGUAAAGAAGCACCGGCUAACUACGUG
rnacentral:rRNA from 1 species